GGGCUCUUAGCUCAGUUGGUAGAGCAGCGGACUCUUAAUCCGUUGGUCGAAGGUUCGAAUCCCUCAGGGCCCACCA
rnacentral:tRNA from 1 species